rnacentral:lncRNA from 1 species
GUCGGCAAACAAAUGUUACAGGUCAAUAACGUACAUGUAUUGCAGUAAUACGUAAAUUUUUCUCCGUGUUGUUUACAAAUGAGCGUUUUUACUUCCGUAUUUGUAAUGUUGGCAUCUUGAAAGACAUGAUUCCUGCAUGAUUUAGUUUUUAAAUGUGAUAUUUCACACAACUUACAGAAACAUUGUUCGCAGUCUUUACAAUACCUGCUUUCAGAAGAAUUUUCACAGAUUUCACAUGAUCUAACAGGAGACUGAGCCAUUAUUAUA